CUGGAGAAAAUUUGUUGGGACUUUGCAGGAGGGACUCAAUGGCAGUGAACCAGAUGAGGAGGAUGUCAAUUCAGGAUGGGCUCCAAGGUGGCACUGAGGAAGGAGAAAUCUAGCUAAUGAUUGAGCUGCUUCACAUGGUUAAUCUAGGGGUUCCUCAUUUUAUGUCACCACUUGGUCUCAGUCUCACAAGCCUUUUUAUAGCAUACUGAGUGCUACAAAGCUCACCUAGGGAUGUGUGUCCACGGUUUCUUGUUCAUUGAGGAGGGAUCUCAUGCAGCAUCCCCUCUUUCAUUUAUGGAGGAGUUAUAUCCCUGUAUGCAGGUAAAAGCCAGGGUAAGGUCUGUGCAGUGGUCCCACUUGAGGCUAUUAAACCUCUGCUCACAUUGUGGACAUUGUCAGACCAUGGUAUUUUGUAAGCUGUACAAUGCAGUUGAUAAUACUAAUUACAACUCUCCCUGGGCCUAGAGGAACUGAUAGUAAGAUAUUGGAUAUAGAACUGAACUUUUCUGCUCACUGGAAAGGAGUGGAAAAAGCUGAAUAUUGCUCUCAGAUAGCUCAUACAAUCAGGAUGUGCAUCAGGGCUGGAGGAGCUCACAGGAGAGGUCUGAGAAUAUGAACUGAACUCUACUGGAACCUUGUCCCAAGCGAUGCUUUCAUAUGGGAGAAAAGCUCAGGAGAAACCUUUACACAGUGAUCCAGAUCAAAGAGACCUACUUUGGUGGUAUGUCUGGUUUGUAAAGAGCAAGGCCUCUCUCCUGGACACAGCUUCUAAAGUUGCCUUUAGAUCUGUGAAAUGAAAGUCAGCUCAUUGAUCAAAUCCCUUUAGAUCCCAGUGGUUUCAGAGUCAUCCCUGUGACCCUGAGCAUGUAUUGCUGCACAGGGGAGCCCCUCCUGCAGAGGAACAGAAGUGCAUCCGUGCAUCCACCCCACUUGUGUAAUAAAUGUCACAACCAGAGCUCCAGUUUGAAAUGUUCCUUUCUUGAGCUGGCUGAGCCUCAUACAAUCUUACACUGAACUUUAACACCUGUUCUACUAAUGGUGGGCACAGCACCCAAAGUUUGAGGCCUUGUGGUUACCCUGAAACAACUGGUGAUGUUUCAUGCACCAUCUUUCACUCGGGCAUUGAUAGUAGAGUUUCAGUUUAAUAGGAAACGAGAGAACUGUGUGAAGAAAGCACUCUGUAAAACAAAGAAACAAAAAAUAGGAGGGGGAUGCGAGGAGCUUUUGAAAGCUAGAGAGCAGCAGCGUUCCAGCAAAAACAAGCUGGACGGAGGAAUAUUAAAGAGGGCAGUGUUAAAUGGAGACCUAGCAGGAUCACAGAACAAGUGAGCAUCCAAGAUUAAGAGCGCACUAAGAAUUAAUGAGCCAGCAGUGCUUCUUCAGAUUGCAGUAAUAACACCCAAAGCCCACAUGGAUUGCCUCCUGUGCUCUCCUGCUCACUGCACCUCAUCUCCCACUGAUGUAAAAUCGUUUUGCAAAUCUGCAUUAAAAUCAUGAGAGAGCACUUCAUGGGCAAUGCACUGGGUCAUUCCUUCAGUGAAGCUGCGGAAGGCAAAUUUCGCAGUCCUGAAGUUUGAGGCUUCCUAGAUAAGAAGUUGAUUCAAUUCAACCCAGGCAAAAAUCUAGGGAAAUGGACAGUGUCAGAUGAGAUGGAUAUCUGACACAUUUAAAUCCUCCCAUCCUGUGACUCUUUGAUCGCUAUAACUGUUUGCAAAGGAAAAAGAAAGGCCUGAAGUCAUUCCAAUCUUCAGUGACAUUUUAUUUUCUAUAGGGGAUUGGAUCUAGAAACUACAGAGCUGCUGGACUGGAAAAAAAAAAGGCUUGCAGCUGCACUCAUCACCCGGGGUGUUUAUGAUUAGAUCUGCUUUAUAUCAGCCAAAAAGUUAAAAUGAAUUUUAAAAUAAAUAUUUGUCAUCAAAACAUUUUGUGGCACAUCAUAAUCCUGAACUCGCAAACACAGUCAGCUUGAAGGAAGCCCAGAAAACCCAGAAAUGUCUCUCCAGUGGAAGUGACAGCAGAUUUGUUCACAUGGGCGUAACUGAUGUAUGGGUUCCUAUGAUGCCUCAGUUACUGGUAAAGCGUGUACAAAUGGAUUGCAUUCCGUGUGUGUGUGCGUCCAAUAGGAAAACUCUUCUGCAUUAGACUUUAAAAAGAAGUUCCCAAGCUUUUAAAAUCAUUUUGCUGUAUCUUCUGCCUAUCUUCUCAGCUCUGAGAAGUUCUGACCGUUCCAGGAUGUGAAGAAUCUCUCUCAAAGUAUAUGCAGCAGUGCUUCAGCACAGGCGUAGCAGAAAGGAUCAAAAUGAGAUGUGAAGGUUAAAGAUGUACCUGAAGCAAAGAUAUGAAUACAUUUAUUCUAGGCUUUAUCUCAGUAAAAUAGGGGAUGUUUUUGUACAUCUAUAAUCAAGGGUGCUCAUUCUCGUUUUUUAUGUCUGGCAUAAAUUUCCAGUGACUUGAACAGGAAAACUGUCAGAAUCCUAUUGCAUAGU
ensembl:lncRNA